CUGUGUACCUAUUGUGGCUCUUUGCUGGACUUCCCCUCUUUAUUUCCUCCCCAAUCUCUCUUUUUCUGCCCUUUUUGUCAGUAGAAGCAAUCUGUUUCAGAAAUGUCGGAGGAGGAUGAAUAUCGCUGUUUUAUUGGUAACUUGUCCUGGUCGACAUCUGAUCGAGGAUUAAAGGAUGCGUUUGAGAAGUUUGGCCAUCUUGUUGAUGCAAAGGUUGUACUUGACAAGUUCUCUGGCCGAUCUCGUGGAUUUGGUUUUGUCACAUUUGAUGAGAAGAGAGCGAUGGAAGAUGCCAUCGAAGCAAUGAAUGGAAUGGACUUA
rnacentral:misc_RNA from 1 species